rnacentral:siRNA from 1 species
AUGCACUGAUUUGGGACACAAUGU